CCUACGGGAGGCAGCAGUGAGGAAUAUUGGUCAAUGGGCGUAAGCCUGAACCAGCCAAGUCGCGUGAGGGAUGAAGGUUCUAUGGAUCGUAAACCUCUUUUAUAAGGGAAUAAAGUGUGGGACGUGUCCUAUUUUGUAUGUACCUUAUGAAUAAGGAUCGGCUAACUCCGUGCCAGCAGCCGCGGUAAUACGGAGGAUCCGAGCGUUAUCCGGAUUUAUUGGGUUUAAAGGGUGCGUAGGCGGCCUUUUAAGUCAGCGGUGAAAGUCUGUGGCUCAACCGUAGAAUUGCCGUUGAAACUGGGAGGCUUGAGUAUGUUUGAGGCAGGCGGAAUGCGUGGUGUAGCGGUGAAAUGCUUAGAGAUCACGCAGAACCCCGAUUGCGAAGGCAGCCUGCCAAGCCGUGACUGACGCUGAUGCACGAAAGCGUGGGGAUCAAACAGGAUUAGAUACCCCAGUAGUC
rnacentral:rRNA from 1 species